UUAUUUCCUAUGAAGACAAAAGUAAUAGUUGUUUGUGUUGUUUAGAGAGAAUAGGCCGUGGCUGAAAGCUUAUUCCAAUAAAGCAAAUAUGAAAGACAAGUCGGAGGAUUGAUAGUGCAAAGCUAUCACGCAGCAGGCGUUAUUUGCAAAAGGAGAGCAAUAACUCUCAAAAAAAGGUGGUACCACGUCCUCAAACGUCCUUUCC
rnacentral:ncRNA from 1 species